GAUGAACGCUGGCGGCGUGCCUAAUACAUGCAAGUCGAGCGAACGGACGAGAAGCUUGCUUCUCUGAUGUUAGCGGCGGACGGGUGAGUAACACGUGGAUAACCUACCUAUAAGACUGGGAUAACUUCGGGAAACCGGAGCUAAUACCGGAUAAUAUUUUGAACCGCAUGGUUCAAAAGUGAAAGACGGUCUUGCUGUCACUUAUAGAUGGAUCCGCGCUGCAUUAGCUAGUUGGUAAGGUAACGGCUUACCAAGGCAACGAUGCAUAGCCGACCUGAGAGGGUGAUCGGCCACACUGGAACUGAGACACGGUCCAGACUCCUACGGGAGGCAGCAGUAGGGAAUCUUCCGCAAUGGGCGAAAGCCUGACGGAGCAACGCCGCGUGAGUGAUGAAGGUCUUCGGAUCGUAAAACUCUGUUAUUAGGGAAGAACAUAUGUGUAAGUAACUGUGCACAUCUUGACGGUACCUAAUCAGAAAGCCACGGCUAACUACGUGCCAGCAGCCGCGGUAAUACGUAGGUGGCAAGCGUUAUCCGGAAUUAUUGGGCGUAAAGCGCGCGUAGGCGGUUUUUUAAGUCUGAUGUGAAAGCCCACGGCUCAACCGUGGAGGGUCAUUGGAAACUGGAAAACUUGAGUGCAGAAGAGAAAAGUGGAAUCCCAUGUGUAGCGGUGAAAUGCGCAGAGAUAUGGAGGAACACCAGUGGCGAAGGCGACUUUCUGGUCUGUAACUGACGCUGAUGUGCGAAAGCGUGGGGAUCAAACAGGAUUAGAUACCCUGGUAGUCCACGCCGUAAACGAUGAGUGCUAAGUGUUAGGGGGUUUCCGCCCCUUAGUGCUGCAGCUAACGCAUUAAGCACUCCGCCUGGGGAGUACGACCGCAAGGUUGAAACUCAAAGGAAUUGACGGGGACCCGCACAAGCGGUGGAGCAUGUGGUUUAAUUCGAAGCAACGCGAAGAACCUUACCAAAUCUUGACAUCCUUUGACAACUCUAGAGAUAGAGCCUUCCCCUUCGGGGGACAAAGUGACAGGUGGUGCAUGGUUGUCGUCAGCUCGUGUCGUGAGAUGUUGGGUUAAGUCCCGCAACGAGCGCAACCCUUAAGCUUAGUUGCCAUCAUUAAGUUGGGCACUCUAAGUUGACUGCCGGUGACAAACCGGAGGAAGGUGGGGAUGACGUCAAAUCAUCAUGCCCCUUAUGAUUUGGGCUACACACGUGCUACAAUGGACAAUACAAAGGGCAGCGAAACCGCGAGGUCAAGCAAAUCCCAUAAAGUUGUUCUCAGUUCGGAUUGUAGUCUGCAACUCGACUACAUGAAGCUGGAAUCGCUAGUAAUCGUAGAUCAGCAUGCUACGGUGAAUACGUUCCCGGGUCU
rnacentral:rRNA from 1 species